GUCUUUCCAACUGCAAAGACGUAGCUCUUCAGAUGAAGAUUUAUCAUGGGACCAAUGUAAUGGACACACUUUGGUGCCAAAACCUGCAUUCCUCUACUGCGGUCACACUUCAAGAAGGACUUCAAAACGGACUUUACCGUAAAGAAUUUGAAUUCAAGAACAACAAAUCACCAGAUAAUAAGACCUGAGUAGUGAGGACUCCAUCUUAGGACUCCAGUCACCUUUCCCCAAUGCUAUCCGCAUAUCAGCCUGUAUCACCUAAUCUUUUCUGUCGGAUGUGAGAUUUUCCUAACGGCAAUGGCAGGACUUCUUCCCAUCUUUAAAACAACUUUCUGACAGGUUGGGGAUUAGCAGGACUGCCUUCAAAGCCAAGUCUAUGUGUGAGCAGAUUUACUCAGAACACAGGGAAUAAUUAAGCCAAGGCCCUGCUUUACGCUGCAACCAACUAGAACCGAAACACUUUUUACCUGCAGAAGGACUAGAUUGAAGACACCACAAUGUUACUCGAAGCAUUUGAUUGUUACAGCUUCUCAUGCUCCCUUUGUUGUGUCGUUUUUUUUAACCUCUGAAUCACUAAUGUACAUUAGAUCAAGUAGACUAGAGCAGUGGUUCCCAAACUUUUUAUAGUCCCGUACCCCUUCAAACAUUCAACCUUCAGCUGCGUACCCCCUCUAGCACCAUGUUCAAUGCACUCUCAAAUGUUGUUUUUUGACAUUAUUGUAAGCCUGCCACACACACACUACACAAUACAUUUAUUAAACAUAAGAAUGAGUGUGAAUUUUUGUCACAACCCUGCUCGUGGGAAGGGACAAAGAGCUCUUAUGGGACCAGGGAACAAAUAAUAAUAUAAUAAUAAUCAAUCAUUUGUUCAGAUAUCGGUAAGUGGAAUGGAGGCAGGGCAUGAAAGGGAUAACGAAUCCAGUUGUUUGUGUCAUCCGUUUCAGGAAAGUACCUGCGUAAUUGCAUACCGAACUCACUCAGGUGCUUCGCUAUAUCACAUUAUAACCUGCGCAAUUCUGUAUGUUGUAAAAGCAUUACAUGGUCGCUGCCCACAUCAUUGCAUAGUGCAGAAAAUACACGAGUUCAGGGGCCUUGCUUUAACAAAGUUAACCAUUUUCACUGUAGUGUCCAAAACAUCUUUCAAACUGUCCGGCAUUCCCUUGACAGGAAGAGCCUCUCAGUGGUUGCUGCAGUGUACCCAAGAGGCAUCGGGAGCUACUCCUUUACCACUACACUAUGUCUCCCUGUCAUGGCUUUUGCGCCAUCAGUACAGAUACCAACACAUCUUGACCAGCAAAGUCUAUUUUAUGUCCAUGACUUUAAAAAUAUCCUCUCCUGUUGUCCUGGUUUCCAGUGGUUUGCAGAAGAGGAUGUCCUCCUUAAUUGACCCCCCAUAAACAUAACUGCCAUGUGUCAGGCCCUGUAACGCAUAGAAUUCACUGGAUUGUAUGCGAAGCAAUAAUUGUGUCAAAACAUCUCCUGCCAUGUCACUGAUGCGUCGUGAAACAGUGUUGUUUUAUGAAGACAUUGUCUGUAUAGUUUUCCCCCAGCUUUGUCUCAGCCAUAUCUGCUGCAGCAGGAAGAAUUAAGUCCUGGGGCUUGUCUGUCCUAAGCACUUGGGAAAUCACCAUAUAAUAUGCUUCUAUCCCCUUCUUAUUAAUG
ensembl:lncRNA